CUUACCUAGCAGGGCCUCUGCUUAGCAGUGCCCACGGCCUUCAGGGUUCCCCUGCUCUGGGCCAGCUCGCCCUGCCGGAUGCUCACAUCCACCCACACGCGAGUCCUCACCUCUCCCCAUUUCCCAGGAGAACCUUGCUUACCAUUCCUCCGUCCUGAUUCCCUCUCUGCUGAACCAAUGCUGCCUUGUACAGCGGUACAGGUUGUCCACUACAUGUGGGUUCUGGCUGCAGUGGGAAGUUGGGAGCUGAAAUCCAGCUCAUGUAACAUUUAACAAGCCAUGGACCCUGGUGUGGGGCUGUCUUUUUCUAAUUCAUACCUCUGAGGACAGAAGUAACUUUGGUAUACUGACUUCGCCCUUGCUCUAAGCAACUACUCAUUCUUCACACCCAGCUUUAACGUCACCUCCUCUGGAAAGCCUAUCUGGACUCUUCCAAACGGAGUUGGUUGCAGCCCCAUCCUAUGCUUCUGGGUGCUCGGGGUAGGCCGGCCCAGCUCUUGGAUGGCAGAGUCCCGACGGGGCCUGGCACAGAGGACAAACGAAUGCAGAGCCUACUGACGGGACCCUGAAGGUCGGCCGGGCCUUCGGGCCUACAAGUCAUCAGCCACCGGCAAGCAGACUUGCCCCGCCACGGUGUCAGCCCAGCUGCCUCAUGUGGGAUGCAGAGAAGUUAUCCUGUCCAACUUCAAGAUGACAAAGAGCUGUCAACUCACGCCCCUGCCAUCCACCCAAGGGCACAUGACAUCCUCAGGCCUUCCAGAACCUCAGGAAUGGGGAAGGACCUGAAAACCUGAGCUCUUGCAAUAAAUGCCUCUGUGUCCACCUCACCUGUGCCCGGGGCAUCCACAAGAGCAGGACCUGGCCAGGUGGGUGAGGGGGAGUAGUCACUGUGCCUUCACCCAGCAACCUGAGACGCAGGUACUACUCUUAUGUCCACUUGACAGAUGAGCUAGGGGCUCCUCUCACCCAGAUCACUGCAGAAACCUCUGACUGGUUUCCCCACUCCAUGUCCCCAAGCAGAAGGCCUUUCUAACCUGUGCUCAGAUCUUGUCCCUUCUGUGCUCAGUGCCCUCCACUGUCUGCUGGGUGCUCCUUGUAUCCUUCAAAGUUAGUGCCUGAGGUGUACAGUGGCCUACACAGGCCCUGCAGGAAUGGCUCCCAACCACCUUCUCCUCCUCCUCACUUCUCCAAUCCUCCAGCCCACCAGCGCAUUCUCAGUGCCCCAACCCAUUCCUCCCUGUCACCUCGUCCUCUUCAGUUCUUUGCUCAAAUGUCCAAUGUCUCAGAAAAAACUUUUUUUAACAGCAAAUGUUUAUUAUUUCACAGUUUUUGUGGGGCAGGAAUCUGGGCAUGACUUCCUCCAGGUCAGGGUCUCUCACAGGCUGCAAACUAAGAGUCAGCUGGGGCUGUGGUCUCAUCAGCAGGCUUGACCGGGGAAGGAUCUGUUUCUAAGCUCACUCAGUAGAUGUUGGCAAUACUCAGUUCCUUGCCAUGCGGGUCCCUCCAACAUGGCAACUCAUGACAUGGUAACUUGUUUCAUCAAUGCGAGGAAAGGAGAGUGAGCAGUGGGUCCCACACUUGUGUGUGAACCAGGAUCACUUGGAGGAGCUGUUGAAACACAGCCUGCUGGGCUUCACACUCAGAGGUCCUGAUUUUCAGCAGUCUUGGUGGGGCGCAAGAACACACAUUUCUAACAGGUUCCCAGCCGAGACGAGGACCACACUUGAAGCGCUGCUGAAUUACAGGGACCGCCUCCCUGGGUUUCUGUUUCUUCAUUGUAUUUUAUCUGUUGAUGGGACACUCUUUAGAAUUCCCAGGUGAGACCACUGAUUUCAACCCUGGCCACACAUAGAAAUUAUUUGGAGAACUUUAAAAAAUAAUAUGUUUUGAGGCCCCAUUCAGAAUCUAUUGAAAACGGGGUGGGGAUUUCUGGAAGUGUGCUUUUAUUUUUUUUGUUACUAUUUUGUAUGUUUAAGUGCAUACAAUAAAAUGCACAAAUCUUAGCUUGAUGAAUUUUGACAUGUAUACACUCAUCUACCCAUCACCUAGCUCGAGAUACCAAACAUUCUAAUUUGCAAAAAUAUUUUUGUUCAGAUGUCUCAGUGAGGCCCAGCCUGACCACCCCAUUUAAAUCUGAAACCACUUACUCUCCAGCCACAUUCCCCAAAUCCUUUACUUUGCUCUAUAUCCCACUGUGACGCUGGAGGCCUUCAACCAGCCUAUAUACUUCCCUUAAUUUAUUACAUUUAUUCUCCUCCACUCCCCCAUCCUGGCUAGAAUCAAAGCUCCAUGAGAGCAGGGAUUUGGAUUUCUUUUCUAGUUUAUUGAGAAAUAAUUGGCAUACACAUCACUGUAAAAAUUUGAGGCCUACAGCAUGGUGGCUUGGUUUAUAUAUGUUGAAAUGAUUACAUCAGUAGGUUCAGCUAACAUCCAGCCUUUUGUGCAGAUAAAAUAGAAAAAGAAGAAGAAAAAACUUCCUCCUGUGAUGAGAAGAACUCUUAGGGUGCACUCUCCUAACACCUUUCCUGCGUAUCUUACAGAAGUGGAGCUGAGGUGGUCUUGUUGUACGUCAUGCCCCUGGUACAUACUCGUAACUGGAAGUUUGCGUCUUUUUAUCACUUCCCUCCGUUUCCCCUCACUAUGCACUGUGUCUGGUAUUGGGUUGUUGUGUUUUUCAAACAGACGUCUCCCAGCACCUAGAAAGGGCCUGCCACAUGCGGGUGCUCGGUCAGUAUCUCAUGAGUAAAAGGGUCAGAGGCAGAGGUCUGCUGCCUUCUAGCUGCUCAGUCAGCCACAAAGCAGCAGAGCCUCCUUAGCUGUGUUCUUAACGGCCAGGCUCCUCCACCCCAGCCCAAGGCGGAGCCGGCCCCACCCUCUCCUUGGAGAUCCCACGGAUGCCAGCUUCCAGGCCCAGACGGAGAGGGCAUCUCGCAGGCACUGCUCCCCUCAGAUGUCUUGAGGGAGAGCUGAGGCCCGAGUGGAAGACACUAAGUGGCGUGCCAGGAGAGGAGCCCAGGUCUUCUGUACCCACAUACCCACCUUCCUC